AGCCUCCAGGAGAUCGCUGGGCUCUCUGAGGUUGGGCUUGAAUGUCUCUGGCUCCAUCUCUGUCUUGAUGGAUGUGCCAUGCUUGGAGUUAACCUCUUCCUUGGUGGUGAUCUGGAAUCGUUUGCAGAGUGGAGCGCAUAUCUUCACUGUUUAGCGCAUCACAUCCGACGGUGGUACUCCGUCAGAGACACUACCUGGUAGUACAAAGACAGGAACAGGUGGAACAUAAAACUCUGGCCAGUUCUGUUGCUGGCCAUGGGAAAAAAGGCGAAGUUUGGAAGGCAUUAUUUGCACUAAUUAGUGCAAUUCUUGCAAACUUACUCUCUAUUAAUAGACAGAUGUCAGAAAAUAAGUAAUUCAUGGAAUGGCUUAUGGCCACUUCUACUGUGAAACUUUGAGUAGAGAGAAGAGAUCAGGGCAUGUUGUAGCACUCAGGCAUUUGCAUGUUUGUGUAAUGUUUAUUUAACCCAUUUUUUGCACAGGCAAAGCUGCUAUUUUCAUAAAACCCUCAACAGAGCAAAUACUUUGAUGUGAAUCAAAUAGACUCGUAAUUAGAGAUCACUUGAGAAAUACAGAUUUUAGGUGCUUGAAUAUACAGGCAACAGCAGUGACAACUCAAAGUCCGUAAACAAACCACCCUCUGUUUGUUGGGAACAAUAAUCUGCAAAACUACAACCCAGACAGACUAACACAAUGACCCAUCAAGCCUGGCCACAUUCCAGCAAAGUUACACCCCACGCUGCAGCACAGUCCACUGAGAGCUGCUGCCUCUGUUCUGACACUGAACUAACGUUGGCGUAUUCAUGCAGCUCAGCUCAGGUCAGGAUGGAAAGGCCUUAUGCACGAGAUAAACACAGUCACAAAUAGGAUACACACACAGUCCCACCCACUGCCUUUUGAGAUACAUAUUAUCAGGGGACAUGUGUUUUUUUCCUGUUACUCACCUUGUUGCUGCUGGUGUAAAUAACUUUUUUGGUAACAAGCUGUCUCUUUACAGCUCUCAAUAAUGCAGCAGAAAGGGUAAACUACAGUCUUCAUAAAUCAUGCAUCACUUCACCUUCAACUGGAGGCACUUAAGUAAUGUUUGUCCCCUAGAAACGGUUAAGCUAGCAGCAUGCUAACUCUAAGAUCUUCCCAUGUAAGGACAAGACAUGACCCAGUGUUAUUUUUUAUUCCAUCAAUGUCAUGGAAAAGGUCAGAAAUGGAUGUGGAGAUGGAGCUAAGGGCUGGGUCCUCAAGUCCAGGUGGCUAACAGUCAGUUAUCAUGCCAGCAAACUCACGUGAGGACUGACAUCUUUCCCGUGAUAUUAAACUCGUUAGCGUAUGACUAUGUAGUACUCUUGUUAUAUGUUCUAAUUGCCUCUCAGCUGCAGAAACUUUCAGACAGCUUACAAAGCCACACACAGCACUGGCACACGAUGCCAAGAGGACUAAAACAGAUGAGAGCUCUGUCCUGACUGCCAAUAGAGACCAGAUAGUGGCGACUUUGUUUAACAACCCGCACCGGACUAACGGUCAACAGCAGACCCUACCGGACCGGCUAGCAGGCUAGUUAGCCUCGCUAGCCAGCUAGCACGGUUGGCUAACAACAAGACAACAUACAUGAACAUAUACAUCGCCAGAGGAAAAAAAACGUCAACUGGAUACAAGCGACAUACACAGGUAUACUUAGGAGUCAGACGUUUCUCUUGCUCCUUCACUCUCCUAGAAAACAUAUCUUGCUUCCUGAGCGAGGUUGAAGCUGGAAAGUCACAUUACAGAUCCUGUAAGUUCUCCUCGUAACCUCAAGACACCGCUGGCAGACGGAGUUGGGAAGUAGCCUGGCAGCUCCACUAAAAACAAGCCUUGAAUUUCCAAACGCCGCAUGAUUUGUGUGACAUCGCUGACAUCCAAUGACAACACGGGACAAGAGAAAAACCGGCUCCUCAUUGGUCAAAAAAAUAUAUGAGACCGUCCCAAAACCGAAGGAUUUAAAGACACAGUCACAAACAAAACGGAGAAAAUACAAAGUAGUAGUUUUCAGUAGUUUUACUUAAGUAAGAGUACUACUAAUUACAACCACUAACUAAAUCGAUCGAAAAUACUGCUUUUAAAAACUGUACUUGAGUAAAAAUAUGUAAGGCUUACCAGCAAAAUGUACUUAGUUAAAGAAAAAGUAGCCAAAAAGUAUUUUACAUUU